GACCUCAGAUCAGGUAGGGAUACCCGCUGAACUUAAGCAUAUCAAUAAGCGGAGGA
rnacentral:rRNA from 3 species